rnacentral:lncRNA from 1 species
AUGUUCGCAAAUAAACAAAGAUAAAUAAAUUUAAACAUUGAAACAAAGAUAGAAAACACCUAGAAACGCUCUGACAAUCCAACGUCUUGAAUGGCAUACACGGCUCCAAGUUGUCUUCCUUCUUCUCCUUGCAAACUCACGGCACAAUGAGAGAUGAUUGGUGAAUGGUGUAGUGAAAAUCUGGUAGAGGGUGGUUAGUGAAAGGGUGCGGCAAUAGGUUGUAUAUAUAGGCUGAAAAUCCCAUCUCCUAGGUAGCAAAGGACAAGGUUUUAAAGGCCUAAAUUGCAUAGGAUAAUAACAUCCAAUCCUAUAAGGAAAACAAGUUAAAAACCCAAAGGGAUUGGGAGAUAAUGUGCAGCACAAAGAGUGUGAAAAGAUAAGGCUUCUAGAAACCAAAAAUCCCAAGGGAAAUAGGUAUUAGGUGCGGCAAGGAUCUAGGGUUCUAGAAGAUAAUGCAAGGCAGAUUUUUAGGCUUCUAGAAAGGUUCCUAGGUGUCAUCUUUGUAGGAUAAGAUAAGGUCUUCUAGAAAUCCCAAUUUAAGCAUCCUAAUCUAAUUAGAAACCCUCCUAAAUGGCUGGAAUGUGGAUAGUUUAGGAUUAGGAUAAGAUAGGAUAAGAUAAGGUUCAUUUGGAUAAGAUAAGCUAAGAUAAGGUUAUGGAUGAGGUUUUGGAUAAGAUACCUUAUCUUGAGCUGAUUCAUUGGCUUUAAUUCUUCUUCUUUAUGUAGGAAACCUUGCUUGAGUAGGAAACUUCAUUCAUCUAGGAAUCCAUCUUCAAUUAGGACUCCUACAUUGAUUAGGAAUCCUUAUUCGAUUAGGAAUUCUUCGUUUAAGCCCUUUCCUUCUUCAACUAAGAAACUUUGUAUCUUCAAUUCUUCAACUUUGAAACGCCUUCCUAGCUUCAUCAAUUCCUCAAAUUCGUCCAUCCCUUGUGCUUCAUGUGCAUGAACUUCAUUCUAGCCCAAUUUUGCUCCAAAAUGCUCCAAAUUGCAUCCUUUUGCUCACUUUGUCUCUAAAACCUGAAAACACAUGAAAAUAGCUUAAAAGACUAACUUAACUAAGAAAACAUAACAUAAAUGCAUAAGAACUAGCUAACUAAGGCGCAUAAAUAUGCUCCUAUCAUAGCUCAUCGACUUUAGCUUGAAGAGCAACCAUUUUUCCUUCUUUAUUUCGUUGCUUCGCACUGGUGCAAUAGAUGUGUCAUUCUAUGUGUUGUGGCUUCCUUCGCUCCCUAUGUUGGAGAGGGAUGCUUGGUCAAAAGAGAGUGUAUGAAUUGUGGAAACCAGCUUAACAAAGCUGAAGAGAGUGGGAAUAAGUUUCGUUCCCACAAACGGCGCCAAAUGUUGAUGCACAAAAUCAGUGAGGACUUUGGUACAACAGAAAAUGUUAAGUUUGUGACCUUCGCUAGAUUGCUCUGGUCACUAGAGUGGAUAAGUAUGUAAAUAGAUAGGGAUAAGGAAGCAAACACAAGAUGUACGUGGUUCACCCAGAUUGGCUACGUCCACGGAGUAGAGGAGUUUUCAUUAAUUGUGAAGGGUUUACACAAGUACAUAGGUUCAAGCUCUCCUUUAGUGAGUACUAGUGAAUGAUUUAGUACAAAUAACAUUAGGAAAUAUUGUGAGAGAAUGAUCUCUAUUUAUGGAAGAGAAUUUCUAGUUUCAUUUUGAUAUUGACACGUGUCUUGCUGUGAUUGGCCUCUGAUGUCGACACGUGUCGCGUUAUGAUUGACCUGUGAUCUUGACAUGUGUCGCAUUGUGAUUGGCCUCCUGGUUGGAGGGAGACUCUUGUGGGUCCUUGGCGGUAUACUAUUGACCAGUGCUUAGUAGUUUCGGGUUUGGUCAAUUAUGGUACAAACAGUUUAAAAUAAUUUACUAUUUUAGUAGUUAUUUUUAGGAUUUCUAAAUGUAUAAAUAUGCGAGAUGUUCAAUCAAAUGGGCAGAUUCUUGCAAGCAAAUGUAUUCGACUCCUAAACUACUUUGUUUCUUUUAUGUUAGUUAAAUAGAAAAGAAAAGUAAUUUCUUCACAAAUGCAUUGAGUUCUAUAAUUUCUUGAUGAACAGUUCUAUGAGAAACCUUUAAUCAAGCAUCUUCAAAAUUUGCAAAAUGGAAGCAAUAAUUUUGGAAGCGGGUAAAGCCAUAAAACAAAAAUAGAAAAACUGUAUGAGAAAAAUGGUUUUUGUGGGCAUAUUUGUACAAAUAUAUAGAUAUUUAUAGAGUUUUUUUGGGUGAAAUUUGAGUUAAAUAAUUUUUUUUAAUUGUAUUAGCCAUUAGAUUUAAAUUUAGGUGACACACACCAACCCGGAAUGUCCAUUAGGACUCCAAAUCGAGUUGUGUUGGCCGACACCUGGAAGGUGACGAAGCCAUAGUGUAUAGUGAUGUGGAAAAUGUGAAUAAAUUUAAACCUAAAAGUGCCUAAAGACAAGAGUGCGCUGUGAGCGGGAACGAACCCAUUUCACACGCGACGUCAGAGCAUAAGUAAAGUAGAGGAGUGUGGAUAAGGAUCAUACUCUUGGAGGUAGCCCCCUAUACUGAGAUUCACCAUGAAUCCUCGUGGAUACGAACUUUCAGUCGCUAAAACCUGGAAGGGCUAAAAAAUAAGAAUGAGUAGGCUUCAAAAUAAAGUUUUUAAUAAAAACCUUUUGAAAACGUUAUAACCCCUCACCGUAAAACCCGUAUAAUUUUCCAAAAAAUAAUAAUACAUACGUAUACAGAAAUCAUGCUCGAGAGUAGUGAAAACCGAGUUUAUGCCAUGUCAAGUAUCUUAGCAAUAAAAUAAGUAAGUCAGGUGAGAUAAAUUAAUGUAAAAUGAUAUGCCAGCCGGAGUCACCUGACGUGACUUGUACGGCUAAACCUAUAGCUCAUCAACCAAUUCCUGCACACGAGUCGGAACCACCUAAUGUGGUUUGUACGACAGGGCUGGGUGUAAAAUAAGUACGCUCAAGUGCUACGAUCACGUGAUGGCUGCGAAUAAUCGCGGGUCACCUACAAGUUGGAACCACCUAAUGUGAUCUGUACCACAGGGUUGUGCACCAAACUUGGAUCCAAGGUGAGCGUGCAGUGCGGGAGAUGAACAUCACGUGAAGGACUGUGCCCCGGCCACGGGUGGGAGCACUAACACUGGGGUGCAGGAUAAUGAGCUCUACAUGCCUCUACGUAUAACCAUGACCAAUGCAACUAUGAACAUCAUGCAGUACUCACCUGAACAUACCUGGCCUCUGUAGCGUCAUACAAUAGUAUGCAUAUACAUACCAAUGCAUAUACUAAAAUGAAAUGCAAGCAUGACAUGACAUUUAAAAACGUAAAUCCAUUUAAAACAAUUUCUAGGAAAAUAGAAAACAUAUAUACGUAUAUAUAGAAAACCAAAAGCCCACUCACCUGGAGUUUGUGUUACAACUCCCUAGCACAAACAUCAAGGUGUCACGAACGAUUUGCGCCUAGAACAAUUAUCAAAUCAUGUUUUAGAAUUCUUAUCAAUAGAAUACGUAACUUACAUAUCAUAUUUGGAAAGAUUCAUAUGUCGUAUUCCCAAUCAAUAAGUUUCUAAUAUCCUUAAAUAUUACGUAUUAUAACGUAUCAAAGUUUGCUGAAGAUCCAACGGUUGGAUCGUCGAUUGUUAUAGUAAUGAAGUUACGAACCUUAAUGGAACUACUUUCAAAUGAUAAAAAUUCGUCAAUCGGACUUCAACAAUGGAAUCAAGGUAUUCAAAUUUAAUCUAAGAAGGUCAAGGGACGUCUCGGCCCAUGCGCUGCCGCAGGUGGCAGUCGGCCGCACCGACUCGCCGGAAAAUUCGACUAUUUCUAAAAAUUCUCAAAUUUUAUAGGAAUGAAGAUCUAAAUGAGUGGAACAACUUUCAUACCUGUGACUAAGGCCAAUUUUACCGAAAAAAAAGCCUUAAUUUCAUGAAAACCUGUCGGAAACCCUUAAAAUUGGGUAGUUGUUGAUUCGCCACCAAAACGAACUUUGAUGCCUCCAUUAAAGCUUGGGCCUUGCUCCUAGGGUUGGGAGGAGUCUUUUGGUGGUGAUUAUCGACGAUGAAUCUCGCCGGAGUCAUCGGAAGGAGGUUAAAAUCGUCGGAUGCCCCCGUGGGUUUGUGGCUUCAAUUUGUGAAUUUGGGUAAGCAAUUUGGAAAUCUAAUGCUACAAAGAUGUAGGUCUCGUCAAGGGCUUUCUAUGGACACCAAGAUCACCCAAAAUGGAGUUCGUACGAAGGAGAUAUGAGCAGGUCAAGUUGGCGGGUCGGAUGGAGAAACCGAGUUUGGCCAGUUCUCUCCUUCUCCCUUCCCUCCUUUCCCUCAUUUCUCUCUUCUCUGAUUGGUCAGCCUCUCAUCUCUCCCUUUUCUAAUUAGUUUGGUUCCUCCAUGCUUUCUCUCCUUUAUACUCCAUCUCCACCGCCUAUCCUUUCUGCCUUUAAAUCUGGGCCGCACACGUGGCUUUCCAAAUUAAGCUAAAAAAAUCUGGAGCUUUCUAGAAAUAAUUAAUAUAUUAAAAUGCCCCCAACUUUAAACGUUAAUAUCUCCUUCAUUAUAACUCCAAAUUAUGUUCCGUUUGACCCACGCUUUCGUAGCGAUGAGUACUACGAGGAUAUGCCAAGAAAACAAGUCUGACGUGAAAUGACAAGGCAAUCAACAAGAUUCAACGUCUUUACCUUGAAGGGCAUUUUCGUAAAUUCACUUAUUAAAAUUAUAUAAACCGUAAAAAUUGGGACCGGGUUGUUAUAUUAGGUUGUCUAUUUUUUUUUUUAACAUUAGAUGUGCUCAUAUUCAGAGCCAUUGGAUUAAAUAUAGCAACAAAAAUAAUGAAUCUUGACCAUUGGAUUAACCAAUGAUCCAUUGAUUUUAGUCAUUUGAUGUAGAAAAGAGUCGUUGGGCUCCAGUUGUCCUGCUGACAAGCUACCAGUAGUUAGGACCAAGGCUCUAAAAGGCGUUAGGCGCUAGUCAGGUGACGGGUAGGGGCCUAGCUCCUAGGCCAUGGCUCUAAAAGGUUGUUUUUCUAACUUUAAUUAAAUUUAUUAUAUAACACAUAAUAAAAGUCUACUUAUACUUGAAAAAAAAAUGUAAUUGCAUUGGGAUACAUAAAUUACAAAAUAAAUGUAAAAUGUAAAUUAUCUGUUUUCGGUCUAAGUGGGAAUCACGACCGAGGCGGGUGCCUAGGUGGGUUAGGCAUGCACCAUUCCUUAAAUUUGAACUGCAUAGGAAUUAAUCGGGGCAGUGUCAAACCACCUAGCACCUAGGUGGGGGCCUAGGUGGCUUUAGGCAAGGAUUUUUUAGAACAAUGGUUAGGACCCGACGCUGUAGCAUUAUCGCAUGUAACAAUAAACCGCGUAAAGAAAGCGUGGCUUCUUUUUUUUUCCUAGCACGUCCACGUACAAGGUGGGCCUGAGCAAGAUAAGUUGGCCUUAAUUCUUGGGUGGAAUUUGGCUCCAACACUAUUCUUCCCCCGCCCCCCAAGGUUAAUUUGGCACAAUGGUUGCAAAAUGCUUGGGUGGUUUAAAGCUUAAAAUUUAAGCUUUAACCCAUGGGUUGCACAUGGUCUUAGGGCUUUCACACAUGUUUUGAGAGUUGAAUUCCACAUCAAAAAAAAAAAAAAAAAGAGAUCUUACAUGUGCUUUUAAGUAAUUGGGUUACUUUCCCCAUAUUAACAAUUGAUUUUAAGGAAAACUAAAGAAAAAUCCUAAAAAACUUUAGUUUUAAUGAAAAUGACGAAAUAAAGGCGUAAAUGAAUAGUACCAGGAGUGACUUUUCAAGUUAAAAAUGUCAUUUUCGUUAAAAGUGAACAGUACCGAGAGUGUUUGAUGCGGUAAAAACUAACACACAAAUUAAACCCUAUAAAUUAUGCAAUCGUAGUACGGCUAAGUAGGGAUCGUUCUAGGCCGGGGAUUAAGAGGGAUGCUAAUUGUUGAUGCACAAAAUCAGUGAGGACUUUGGUACAACAGAAAGUGUUAAGUUUGUGACCUUCGCUAGAUUGCUUCGGUCACUAGUGUGGAUAAGUAUAUAAAUGGAUGGAGAUAGGGAAGCAAACACAAGAUGUACGUGGUUCACCCAGAUUGGCUACAUCCACGGAGUAGAGGAGUUCUCAUUAAUUGUGAAGGGUUUACACAAGUACAUAGGUUAAAGCUCUCCUUAGUGAGUAUAAGUGAAUGAUUUAGUACAAAUGACAUUAGGAAAUAUUGUGAGAGAAUGAUCUCUAUUUAUAGAAGAGAGUUCCUAGUUUCAUUCUGACAUUGACAUGUGUUGCGCUGUGAUUGGCUUCUGAUGUUGACACGUGUCGCGCUAUGAUUGGCUUCUGAUGUCGACACGUGUUGCGCUGUGAUUGGCCUUCUGGUUGGAGGGAAACUCUUCUGGGUCCUUGACGGUAUAACGUUGAUCAGUGCUCAGUAGUUUCGAGAUUGGUCAAGUAUGGUACAAACAGUGCUCCCCUAAGUUCUCGAGUGAGGGAAGCUCCUCGGUUUGGGACUUGCAAGAUCCAAGCCGCUGAGUAAUCACGAAACUUCUUAAGUACUGAAAUGUGGUAUCGUCUUCACGUGCCUUAUCUGUCUCAUAGGUAGAUGUGGCAUCUUCUCUGGAAGUAAUUUUCCUCUAUCUUUAACCGGUUGAGAUGCACAAGGUAAUGUAUCAAUUUCACUUGAAGCUUACUUGUAGUUUUGGGCUUGGUCAAGUGCGAUACAAACCCUAUAGUACUGUUGGAAAUGUGCCCUAAAACCAAUCAUGUGAUGAUGCUUUACGGACAUUUCACAUGUUAAACUAAUCUAGUUU